rnacentral:rRNA from 1 species
CACGUAGGGGCCAAGCGUUGUCCGGAAUCAUUGGGCGUAAAGCGCGUGUAGGCGGCCUUGUAAGUCCGUUCUGAAAGUCCGGGGCUCAACCCCGGGAGGCGGAUGGAUACUGCAAGGCUCGAGUCCGGAAGAGGCAAGUGGAAUUCCCGGUGUAGCGGUGAAAUGCGCAGAUAUCGGGAGGAACACCAAUGGCGAAGGCAGCUCGCUGGGACGUAACGUGACGCUGAGACGCGAAAGCGUGGGGAGCAAACAGGG